CAGAACCUCUGUGCACCAUGGCUCAGGCCAUCUUGAAGCCAACACUUAAGGAAUGGACCCUCUGGGGCCCACCUCCUUCCAGCCCUGCCUUAUAAGACCCCCGUGACCUGGCACCUGCAACCACAGCAGGAGACAGGAGCCAGCGUUCCUCAGGAUUCAGGACUUCUGAGUUGCAUGAAUGGGGCCUGGGAACCGCCGCUUUCCCUGCCCAGUGGCCACACGGGUUAUGCAGCUGAGGACUGACUUGGGCCGGGGGUCAUGGCUUCCUAGGCCUUCUGGCUUCUGCUUCAUUGCAGCCCUUUCCAGCUGCAAGUCAACACCAGGAGGAACUGAUUUGGGGACCUGGAGUUCAAGGCUGUAAACUCCCACAAAGGCCAGAGCCGGCGGAGCUGGAGAGCCCCAUUUUGGGAAGCUGGUGGUGAGGGCCUCUGCCUUUGAUCGCCAGGGAGACAGAGGACCUUCUCUGGCCAAACGCUCGACCUACCUUGUCUCUGUUCCCACAACAAUCCUGCAAGGUAGGUGUUAUUACCCCAUUUUCCAGGUGGAGAAGAUCCAGAGGGGUGCCCUUGCCCAGGGUCAGGCAGUCCUCAGCAAAGUCUCAGGAUGAAAGGGGAUUUAUGUAUGGGUGUGUCUGGCCCUCAGGGUGCCUUGCAUGGAGAUGUCUACGAGGAGAGACCUUCCUGAGCUGAGCUGCUCUCAGGAACAUGGGCCACAGGUGGAAGGGCCUCGACCUCUCUGCAGGAGAGCAGGUGUCUCAGAGAGGGGCUCCCUGUCCCAGUGCCAGCUAGGACCCAUGACCUGAGCUAGCUGGGGGAGGACAGGAAGGAAGUCUGAGAAGGACUUAAACGUGAGUGAAGCGAGAGGGGUGGGACCUGCUUGACUUAACAAAUGCCUGGGUUUCCCCCAAAGAACAAAUAGGACAAUUUCUGAAAAUUGUUGCAGGACUGGAGAAGGAAGGGGAGGUUAAGGGAGAGGAGAGGGGGUGGGGAUGGGGUGCAAGAGGAGUGAGAGAGAACCCUCUGAGAGGGACUCUGGGGGAGCUGUCAGCAAGGUGGGGGUUGCUGCCUCUGUGAGGGCAAAUCGGGUCUUGUGACUCCUCACAGGACAGGCGACAGCAUGGAAGGAGGCUGCCUGAGAAAAGUCCUGCGUCUGCCUGCAGCACGGGAGAAAUGAUUUCACCUCUGUCCUGUCCCCAUUUUUGCCUGAUUUUUGCCUGGGACUGAUUCAUUCACUUUAUAAAACUGGGUCCCAUGAUGUGCUGUUCCAGGCAUGGGGGAAUGAAGAAACAAACAAAAAUC